CCAAGCCCGCCGGGGGCCCGAACCUCCAAGCCCGCCGGGGGCCCGAACCACCAAGCCCUCCGGGGGCCCGAAUCUUUCUCCACUCAGGAUAAACUGUCACACCAAGCCGGUCAUCAACUCUGUAGGUCAACCCAGGGUUUCCCAUCCCGCCGUGAGCGCGUUCACACGAAAGAGGCGGAUCAGGUAUGAAGUGUGAGCAGAUUCCAUCAGACAUCCUCGCUGCGUCCUGCUCAGCGUAGCUCUCACCGGGCCGUCGCGUCUCUUUCGUUCAUUACAUAUCACAUGUCUGACCCCGUCUCACUCGGGCUCGGCUCACAGGGAUUAAAGAUCUGCUGACCCCACAAAGCAGCAGAUGAUCCACCAGAGCCGCUUCAAGUGGCGACUAAAGUUUUCUGUGAAACGUGCUACCUAAACACACAAAAGAGGCCUGGUUGGUUCACGCACUUCCAGUCUACUGUAGUUAGCAUUGCAUGUUUCUCAUCAUUCAUUUUGAUUUACUCAUUUUACCUCCUUUCAUCUCGACUUAUACUGUAAUGCAUCGUAUUAAUGUUUCUUUAAAAGCCCUUCUAGGGACGGGUGUUGCAAAUUAGCAGCCGCUAAAACACUGUGGUGCAAACGCUGGACUGCUGUUUUCACUUUAUCUAUGCUAGAUGUCUCGGCCCCUAAUAAAAAUAACUGUACGGACUGCUGUUCUUGCACCUGUUCAAAAGAUCCACACACAGAUCCAAGCGGGGAACCAGACUGGAUGAACAGAGCUCAUCGAUCGUAAAGGGAGUUUCUGAUCAGAGUCUAAAUAAAACAGAAAAUCUUUUUGGAAAACUGUCAUUUAUUUUCUUUCAGGAUGGCGAAACAUUCAACAGAGACUCAAACAGAAAGCGACUCCUUCACCAUCCACAACACAAACAAACUGAUAUCCAGAGAGUAAACGUGCAUUUACAAAUGAACAGGAAGUGGCGUCAGAGGGGGCGGGGCCUCACUGUUUCCUGAAGCCUCUCAGGAUCGGAUAAAUGUUCUCAAACGCGUCGUAGAUCUCAGCUCGUUCUUUAGCUCCUGGAAUUUAAACACACGACUACAAAAUGAAAACAAGUUCAUUUCUAAAAGGGUGUGAGGAGAUGACAGCAGCUGAUCUGGCCAUCUUACAACAACACGUCUGUUUCAUUUUCAUCAUAAGAUCUUUGUCUCGCAGUUAACUCGUUACCGCAGAGAGCACCGAUGUUCAAUGUUGAUCACGGCAACUCGUAAUGAUGUCGGGGAGAGCCGCAACCAAUGAAACAACUUUCUCAGAGCCGGUGUUCUGUCCAUUCACGCGCGCUAUCGAGAGGUGCUACUUAGCGGUUCUGCGCACGCGCGUGACCCAUAAGCGCGGUCCGUUUCCACGGCCAUACGUCUGUGCAGCCUUGCUGUUGGGCACGCCGUCGAGACAGCGGCUGAUCGCCAGCAACAACAACAACAACAAAUCAUUAUACGCUGAUAUCUGAAAUAAGCUCCCCCCUCCUUCCAGUGCACAUGCAGCGAGCAGCGGUGCAAUGUAAAAUGAUUCUGAAGACGCUGCCCCUGAAAUGAUCAAUCAAAAAACAGAAGACUAAUCCUGCGAGAGUGGAAAAGGGAACAUAAAGGUAGCAUAUAUCGCCAGAACAAUCAGGUGGACUCUGACGUCUGUGAGACGGGAAGUGAUCGCUCGACCUCGUCUUUGAUGAUUCAGUUAUUUUUAACUGUAAAUCACUUAAUAUGAUUGGAAGCAGGAAGUCAAGGAUGACGCAGGGUCCUUCCACACCUGAAAGUCCGCACAGAGGUCCGAGCCAAAGUUCACGUUCUGAUAUAUCUGGUUAGCUGUGCUCUCCCGUCGCUGCGUCUCGCUGUACGUGACUCUGAGAGGACUGAUGAACAGAUGCAGAUCGUUGCCACCGUGUUGUUAUAAAGAAGACGUUACUGCAGCACCUGCUCUGCUACAGACUCAUUCACAGACUUACAUCCUCGAUGUGCGAACAUUAUGUCGCCGAGGAGAGCGAUCCUUCUCCGUUUGAGGAGAGGCCAAAGAGGAAGCUCCUAACGUCUUGGAACAGGAGUCCUGAAGCCGUCGUGGCGUUCACACAGCGUGACUGACCGGUGACAGGAGGUCACACGCUCCACGAGCUGACAGCGGCGGAGUCACCUGACGCUGGUCUCCAAACCACGUUUGGUCAAGAAAACACAGGUGAAAUGAGCGAUCCUGCACAGGAAACAGCUGUUUGUUAUUCUAAAGACAAAGAAUCUGGGUGAAAGGACGGAUCAGCAGACGCAGGCAGCAGGAAACGUCUAACCUACAGUUGGAGGCCUGCUCUCAUUGGCUGGAUGUGGACGCCGAGUCGGCCGACAGAUAUUUGGCGUGCUAGAUAUCAGCGAUGUGUCAGAAAUGUGUUGGGGAGCCAUUUUGAUGCGUCAAAUUUGAAUAAUGAAUCCUAAAGUAGUGCUUUGGCCUUUUAAUUUAAGUGUACUGCUGUAUGCAUUAAAGUGCAGUAACAUGUG